rnacentral:rRNA from 1 species
UUGAUGCUGGCGUCUUCACGAUGCAUG